rnacentral:lncRNA from 1 species
UUUCCUUAUUGGAUUUUCAUUUCCUUAUUCGGUUUCCAUUUCCUUUUUCGAUAUUCAAAUUUUGAAAAAUAUUACAAGUCCAAACUGAAUUUUUUUUUUCCUUCAAAAUUUUUUUCCUCAAAUUUUUUUUUCCUCAAAAAGUUUUUCAAAUUUUUUUUUUCGUUUCCUUAUUCGGUUUCUUUUUCCAUAUUCGAUUUUCAUUUCCUUAUUCGGUGUCUAUUUCCUUAUUCGAUUUCCAUUUCCUAAUUCGAUUUUCAUUUCCUUAUUCGGUUUCUUUUUCCUUUUUCAAUAUUCAUUUCCUUUUUCGGUUUCUAUUUCCUUAUUCGGUUUCUAUUUCCUUAUUGGAUUUUCAUUUGCUUAUUCGAUUUCCAUUUCCUUAUUCGAUUUCUGUUUCCUUAUUCGGUUUCUAUUUCCAUAUUCGGUUUCUAUUUCCUUAGGUAGCACUCCACAGUUAAAAAAUAAAAUUAAAAAUGAGCCACAAAAUGUUUUAUCAUCUCCUAUUCCUGGAUUUCUAAUACAUUAACGUAACUGUUUGUGUUGUACAUGUGCAUAUGUAUGUAAUCAGUAUCUUCCAUAGAUUUGAUUUUGAAAAGUGAAAAGGGUGAAAAUUAAUUCCUUUUAUGUGUAUCCAUGGCAACAUUCUGCAUUUAUUUCCCAUAAAAUAUUGCAAAAAGGGGGGUGAACAUGUCACAUUUCACCCAAAAAUUUGGAUCAAACUAGAAUUUCAAUGCCUUUGAGUGAUACCUUUUCAGAAACUGUUUCCCUAAAUCUUCCUAAUGAUCAAAUAAAAAAUGGGUGUCUUUCGUCUCAUUUUUUCGUAAAAUCCAAUCACAAAGUUCGUGCGAUAAAAAGUUGGAAAAAAACAUUGCAAUAAUUGCCGGACCAGUGUAUGGUAAGGACAUGCAAAUACGGACUGUCAUACAGAAAACAGCCUAUAUU